CCUACGGGAGGCUGCAGUGAGGAAUAUUGGUCAAUGGACGAGAGUCUGAACCAGCCAAGUAGCGUGAAGGAUGACUGCCCUAUGGGUUGUAAACUUCUUUUAUAAAGGAAUAAAACGAGGCACGUGUGCCUUUUUGCAUGUACUUUAUGAAUAAGGAUCGGCUAACUCCGUGCCAGCAGCCGCGGUAAUACGGAGGAUCCGAGCGUUAUCCGGAUUUAUUGGGUUUAAAGGGAGCGUAGAUGGGUUGUUAAGUCAGUUGUGAAAGUGUGCGGCUCAACCGUAAAAUUGCAAUUGAUACUGGCAGUCGUGAGUACAGUUGAGGUAGGCGGAAUUCGUGGUGUAGCGGUGAAAUGCUUAGAUAUCACGAAGAACCCCGAUUGCGAAGGCAGCUUACUAAACUGUGACUGACAUUGAUGCUCGAAAGUGUGGGUAUCAAACAGGAUUAGAUACCCGGGUAGUC
rnacentral:rRNA from 1 species